AAAAAAUUCUGAACAUUUUUCUCAGAAACAUUCGGUUAAGAUUAUACUAGUUUAUGACUAAUAUGUAAUUAAAAUUAAAUGUUUUCGGUGUACUUUUUUAGGAAUGAAGUGAUUGAAUCGAGUAAAGCGUACCCUAGAUUGUCCAGGACAAUUUAUUCUUGUUGUGUUGAGAGUUGUUUUAUUAGAAUUAUGUGGAAUGAAACUUCUUACUUAGUGUACCUACAGCUGUAUUAUAUUGUAUUAUUUUAUUAUACAUUAUAUAAUAUUCCAGACCAAUACACACUUAUAAUUAAAAAAUAGGCAUAAAUGUUUGUAAUCGUACGAGGAUCGAAUUCGCGACUAACGUAAAGCGGAGUGAUAAGCCACUAGACCAUUAAGUUUGUGAAGGGCACUUCUCUCGAUAAUAAGUCGAGUCUGGGGAUUCUUGGCGUCUAUAUAUCUAGCGACGUCCAGUUUUGCGGUCAUCUGGAGGAAAAAGUUAAGAUAGCUUCCAAAAAGUUGGGGGUGCUCAAUAGGGUGAGACAUAUGGAAUACUGUUCUCACCUAUGGGCAGGAGCGCCACAGUACCAACUCCUUCCGUUAAACCGCAGCUCGAAUUUGACGAUUGGCGCCUUACUAUCCAACUCGAGCCACUGAAACUGCGUAGAGAUGUUGCGUCUCUGUGCAUCUUCUAUCGAAUUUAUCAUGGCGAGUGCUCUAAGGAAUUGUUCGGAUUGAUACCUGCUGCUGAUUUUCACAAUCCUACAACCCGCCAUAAACUUAAAUUUCAUCCCAACCAUCUGGACGAGUGGUGAAGAAUGAAACGUAAUAACGCUAGUCGCCACAAGUUAUUCAGAGGAAGAAGGGAGUAAAUUAGUAGUCCCAUUGUUAGCAUAUAACCUAUCAAAUCGACCUUCUAACGAUCCCCUCUGGAAACUUUUGUCUGGAAGAGAUUGCUUUAACGAUAAGACCGGCUUUUAUACUACAAAGUGUAAUUUAUACAUAUUUAUUCUUGUGUUAUUCUUUAUGUGGUGCAAUAAAGUAAAUAAAUAAAUAUUAUUAGUUUUAA